rnacentral:rRNA from 1 species
UACGUAGGGACCAAGCGUUGUCCGGAAUCAUUGGGCGUAAAGGGCGCGUAGGUGGCCCGGUCAGUCUUUGGUGAAAGCGCGGGGCUCAACCCUGCGUCGGCCAGGGAUACUGCCGCGGCUCGAGCACUGUAGAGGCAGGCGGAAUUCCGGGGUGUAGCGGUGGAAUGCGUAGAGAUCCGGAAGAACACCGGUGGCGAAGGCGGCCUGCUGGGCAGUUUGGCUGACACUGAGGCGCGACAGCGUGGGGAGCAAACAGG